GAUGAAGAACGCAGCGAAAUGCGAUAAGUAAUGUGAAUUGCAGAAUUCAGUGAAUCAUCGAAUCUUUGAACGCACAUUGCGCCCCUUGGUAUUCCGAGGGGCAUGCCUGUUCGAGCGUCAUUAUAACCCCUCAAGCUCAGCUUGGUGUUGGGGCCUGCUGCACUGGCAGCCCUUAAAAUCAGUGGCGGCGCCGUCUGGCUCUAAGCGUAGUAAUUCUUCUCGCUAUGGAGUCCUGGUGGAUGCUUGCCAUCAACCCCCAAUUUUUCUAUGGUUGACCUCGGAUCAGGUAGGGAUACCCGCUGAACUUAAGCAUAUCAAUAAGCGGAUGA
rnacentral:misc_RNA from 1 species